rnacentral:rRNA from 1 species
UACGUAGGGGGCUAGCGUUGUCCGGAAUCAUUGGGCGUAAAGAGCGCGUAGGCGGCCCGGUAAGUCUGCUGUAAAAGUCAAAGGCUUAACCUUUGAAAGUCAGUGGAUACUGCCGGGCUAGAGUCCGGAAGAGGCGAGUGGAACUCCUGGUGUAGCGGUGGAAUGCGCAGAUAUCAGGAAGAACACCAACGGCGAAGGCAGCUCGCUGGGACGGAACUGACGCUAAGGCGCGAAAGCGUGGGGAGCGAACAGG